UACGGAGGGGGCUAGCGUUGUUCGGAAUUACUGGGCGUAAAGCGCACGUAGGCGGCUUUGUAAGUUAGAGGUGAAAGCCCGGGGCUCAACUCCGGAAUUGCCUUUUAAGACUGCAUCGCUAGAAUUGUGGAGAGGUAAGUGGAAUUCCGAGUGUAGAGGUGAAAUUCGUAGAUAUUCGGAAGAACACCAGUGGCGAAGGCGACUUACUGGACACAUAUUGACGCUGAGGUGCGAAAGCGUGGGGAGCAAACAGG
rnacentral:rRNA from 1 species